GGAGGCAUGGCUCAGUGGUUAAGAGCACUGGCUGCUCUUCCAGAAGACUGGGGUUCCAGUCCCAGUACGCCCA
rnacentral:tRNA from 1 species